AGCUCCGUGGUGUAUGGCACAUCGGGUUGCAAACCUGACAGAGCAGGGUGAUACCUGCCGGGGCUU
rnacentral:tRNA from 1 species